AUACGGAGGGCCCAAGCGUUAUCCGGAAUCAUUGGGUUUAAAGGGUCCGCAGGCGGUCAAUUAAGUCAGAGGUGAAAGCCCAUCGCUCAACGAUGGAACUGCCUUUGAUACUGGUUGACUUGAGUUAUACGGAAGUAGAUAGAAUAAGUAGUGUAGCGGUGAAAUGCAUAGAUAUUACUUAGAAUACCGAUUGCGAAGGCAGUCUACUACGUAUAUACUGACGCUGAGGGACGAAAGCGUGGGGAGCGAACAGAAUUAGAAACCCCAGUAGUCC
rnacentral:rRNA from 1 species